AUUGAACGCUGGCGGCAGGCCUAACACAUGCCAGUCGAGCGGAUGAAGGGAGCUUGCUCCUGGAUUCAGCGGCGGACGGGUGAGUAAUGCCUAGGAAUCUGCCUGGUAGUGGGGGAUAACGUCCGGAAACGGGCGCUAAUACCGCAUACGUCCUGAGGGAGAAAGUGGGGGAUCUUCGGACCUCACGCUAUCAGAUGAGCCUAGGUCGGAUUAGCUAGUUGGUGGGGUAAAGGCCUACCAAGGCGACGAUCCGUAACUGGUCUGAGAGGAUGAUCAGUCACACUGGAACUGAGACACGGUCCAGACUCCUACGGGAGGCAGCAGUGGGGAAUAUUGGGCAAUGGGCGAAAGCCUGAUCCAGCCAUGCCGCGUGUGUGAAGAAGGUCUUCGGAUUGUAAAGCACUUUAAGUUGGGAGGAAGAGCAGUAAGUUAAUACCUUGCUGUUUUGACGUUACCAACAGAAUAAGCACCGGCUAACUUCGUG
rnacentral:rRNA from 1 species